AAGGAGCUAGUCCAAGCUCUAAGACUUCUAGCUUCGACCUAGAAAAUCAUGACCAAAUUCAUGGCUCCCUA
rnacentral:tRNA from 1 species